rnacentral:rRNA from 1 species
GACGAACGCUGGCGGCGUGCCUAAUACAUGCAAGUCGAGCGGAGCGGCGGACGGGUGCGUAAUGCCUAUGAAUCUGCCUGGUCGUGGUGGAUAACGUCCGGAAACGGGCGCUAAUACCGCCUACUCUCCGCUUAGCCUGGGUCGGAUUAGCUAGUUGGUGGGGUAAAGGCCUACCCAGGCGACGAUCCGUAACUGGUCUGAGAGGAUGAUCAGCCACACUGGAACUGAGACACGGUCCAGACUCCUACGGUAGGCAGCAGUGGGGAAUAUUGGACAAUGGGCGAAAGCCUGAUGCAGCCAUGCCGCGUGUGUGAAGAAGGCCUUCGGAUUGUAAAGAACUUUAAGUUGGGAGGCGUUACCAACAGAAGAAGCACCGGCUAACUUCGUGCCAGCAGCCGCGGUAAUAC